UACGUAGGGCGCGAGCGUUGUCCGGAUUUAUUGGGCGUAAAGAGCUUGUAGGCGGUUUGUCGCGUCUGCUGUGAAAUUUCGGGGCUCAACCCCGAACUUGCAGUGGGUACGGGCAGACUAGAGUGUGGUAGGGGAGACUGGAAUUCCUGGUGUAGCGGUGAAAUGCGCAGAUAUCAGGAGGAACACCGAUGGCGAAGGCAGGUCUCUGGGCCAUAACUGACGCUGAGAAGCGAAAGCAUGGGGAGCGAACAGG
rnacentral:rRNA from 1 species